UGGUAGAAGUGAUCAAUUAUAUUACCA
rnacentral:piRNA from 1 species